UACACUGAAAUCUAGCAUCCUUGUUGAGAUUGUUGGGGUUAAACACGACGCACACGCGUCGUCUGUCGAGAUCAACAUGUGGGACGUAUAUAAAUGGAAGCAACUGUCAGACUCCAUUGCAGCAGUCUGUUUUGAAUUGUCAACGGAUUCGGUCCCAGCACUCCACUGCCACAUUCAUCUCAAUUCCCCAAUCAGCUCUACAUUAUAAUAUACAGUAGUUAUAUUCAGCUGGAAUGGAUUCCACCAAGGUUGCGUUGAUGUUGCUGGUCUUGAUGACUGUUGGCUGCGUCUUCAAUGUAACGGCCCACCUCAACGUUGGUCAUCAGGAUGGAACGAUGCUGGAAUCGCAGAAAAGUCACUUGCGUAGUGUCUAUUACAACUAUGAUCUGGAUGUGGCCGAGCACAAAAAGAAGAAAUACAGAGGCCAUUACCGUGGAUAUGGAGGAGGUGGUGGAGGUGGUGGUGGAUCGAGCGAAGAAAGACGGUAAACAUCCCACCCAAUUCCUGCGCACAUGAAAUAGAAUCCAUCAAUAUCUAUAUCCUGUCUCCUGUUUAUUGGAGUAUGUCCUACAUCUCGUCGGCGUAUUUAAUCGUUUAUUUCUAAAAUUCCAUGUCCAUCAAAUUUCAGAAAGGAAAUAAAAAAAUGAUGAUCAGACAAACGGCUUUGUGUAUGUGUCGUUGGUAAGACGGCGGCUGUUAAUCAUCUCCAUCCAUUGGCACUUGGCUCGUGAGAGCAACAAACAAGACACAGACACACACAGAAAAAAAAAGUGUCAGUCGAUUUGUUGUCGUGGUUUCACUUUGGGGAUUUCUCUCCAAAUAUUUCGUCGAUUGUGAAUUCGACGUUGCUUUAGAAAUCGACGCUUACUGACAAAGCCGCCAUGUUGAACCAGAGACGAAAUCUAGUUUGCCUUCUACAACAUCAAAACCCCUGGUCGAAUGAAAUAACUUUCCCUUCUUGUCCGUGCGAAAGAUUCAUUGCUGCAACGCUCGUCGGUGUUGAACUAAAAAUCCAGUUCUGAUGCAGUGCUGUCGUGUAUACGAACUCAAGUUUGUAUAAAAAGGACAGUUCUCCGACGAAAUCAUCACACCACUCCGACUGUCUGCUCCAUCAGUCUGUCCAGUCAAUUUGUCGCUCGCAUCGAUUUUCCAUCCAGCUUCAACUACAUAGAGAAUGGCUUCGACUAAAAUCGUGUUGAUCCUGGCCAUGUUGGUCGCUGUGGCUUGGACGAUGGACACUGCCGAUCCUUCUAUCAUCGACAACCAGGAUAUCGGCAUGGCUCAGAGUACCAUCUUGGAUAGCCUCUAUCCCGACUUGGCGGUGGCUGAGCACAAAAAGAAGAAGUACAGGGGAUCCAGAGGAGGUGGCGGAGGAUCUAGCGAGGAACGUCGUUAAACAAUGGCCAUGUAGACCUACGCAUGGAGUUAGACGAAGCAGGUUUUCUUUUAGGUUUUUUCCAGUUGAACAGCAUCAAGACAGAUGACCGCCGGCAUCAGAGAUUUUAUCACGCAAUUCAUAUGACAAGUUACCUACACAGAUGUGCAAUUUUAUUCGAGAGAAAUAAUGUAAAAUACAUACAAACAAAACUA